CUAAUUUAAAGAGGUUAAUGGUUGAUGACCUUUGUGAAUCAAGCUAUGAACCCAGAUACACAACUAUUAUUAGGGUGAUUGUCAAAAACAGUGGAACAGUGGUAUGAAAGCAUUUUUACCUCCACACACAGUGAGAAAAAUGAAAAGGAAGGGAAAGAAAGGGAAUGGUUACAUUUGAAGGGGAUUACAGACCUUGAUUGAACUUUGUGAUGAUCAGAUAUGUAUAAAAAAAUUAUCAUGCUAAUAAUUUGUUAUAAAAAAAUCUUCAUGCUAAUAAUCUGUUCAGAAGGGAUGUCAGAUAAAUAUCUUGACCGAGUGUGUUUCUCAAAUGUGAGAGACUGGUGUUUGAUAGGCAACAUUGGUAAAUAGAUUAGAAAUGGGUGCAUGGCUAAAGUCUCUUUAACCAUGCACAUCAUUGUUUAGUUUUGUAUUGAAAUAAUGCAAAAUAAUAUUAUACCUAAUGUAUUGUACAGCAGUAACUUUCUAUGCUAAGAGAUUAUUUUAUCAAGGUAGGUGACAUAAAGAGUCAGUGGCAUAUUCCAACGUGCCUCCAUGGGGCGUGCGAGUUCUCAGCAUCAGCUCGGCAUUUUGGCUGUAUUAGACAGCACUAUAAGUGGUUCUUCUGUCAAGGUACUAACCACAAGCAUACAACAACUACAAACACACAAUAAUGCCAACAAUGAAACAUGUAACUAGCCAUGCAAUAUUUUACCAUGGUCGUCUCAAUCUUCAAAUUAGCCCACUAAUGAAAGACUAUGUUUUAGAUUCCUGAAGACUGUCCAGCAUAGAUAUCAAAUAAAACUUACAUAUAGCGAAAUUGCUUCCAUUACUGAGAUCAAUUCUUUCAUAGUGGUUUAUGCAGGCUUUUUACUCAUCUUUAUUGAAGAAUUUGUGAUUGUAUUCCUUUCCCAUGGUUGUAGUACUUAGCUACUCAUCUGAUGAGCAAAUGCAGGACAAUCAUAAAUAUGUAAAAUCUCAAAUAAUAAUUAAAGUUAAGGAUG